GACGAACGCGGCGGCGUGCUUAACACAUGCAAGUCGAACGCUGAAGGCCCAGCUUGCUGGGUGGAUGAGUGGCGAACGGGUGAGUAACACGUGAGUAACCUGCCCCCUUCUUUGGGAUAACGGUCGGAAACGGCUGCUAAUACCGGGUAUUCACUGUCCUUCGCAUGGGGGGUGGUGGAAAGGUUUUUUCUGGUGGGGGAUGGGCUCGCGGCCUAUCAGCUUGUUGGUGGGGUGAUGGCUUACCAAGGCUUUGACGGGUAACCGGCCUGAGAGGGUGACCGGUCACAUUGGGACUGAGAUACGGCCCAGACUCCUACGGGAGGCAGCAGUGGGGAAUAUUGCACAAUGGGCGAAAGCCUGAUGCAGCGACGCCGCGUGAGGGAUGGAGGCCUUCGGGUUGUAAACCUCUUUCGCUCAUGGUCAAGCCGCAACUUGGGUUGUGGUGAGGGUAGUGGGUAAAGAAGCACCGGCUAACUACGUGCCAGCAGCCGCGGUAAUACGUAGGGUGCGAGCGUUGUCCGGAAUUAUUGGGCGUAAAGGGCUUGUAGGCGGUUUGUCGCGUCUGCCGUGAAAUCCUCUGGCUUAACUGGGGGCGUGCGGUGGGUACGGGCAGGCUUGAGUGCGGUAGGGGAGACUGGAACUCCUGGUGUAGCGGUGGAAUGCGCAGAUAUCAGGAAGAACACCGGUGGCGAAGGCGGGUCUCUGGGCCGUUACUGACGCUGAGGAGCGAAAGCGUGGGGAGCGAACAGG
rnacentral:rRNA from 1 species